rnacentral:rRNA from 1 species
AUACGGAGGGUGCAAGCGUUAAUCGGAAUUACUGGGCGUAAAGCGUACGUAGGCGGUUUAUUAAGUCAGAUGUGAAAGCCCCGGGCUUAACCUGGGAACUGCAUUUGAAACUGGUAGACUAGAGUAUGGUAGAGGGGGGUAGAAUUCCUAGUGUAGCGGUGAAAUGCGUAGAUAUUAGGAGGAAUACCAGUGGCGAAGGCGGCCCCCUGGACCAAUACUGACGCUGAGGUACGAAAGCGUGCGGAGCGAACAGGAUUAGAUACCCCAGUAGUCC